UUCAGUUCUUCUACAUGUAUAUAUAUAUAUAUAAACACGCACGGAUAGAACUUAGAAAAUAUUAAAGAUUAAAUCUUUGGUGUCAUUAUAACCUUUUAAUUUUCAUACCAAAACACGCACGCAAUUAGAUAGAACUGUUAGUUCUGCAACAAUUGGUUCUUAUUUCAAUUGGAUCUUUUUUAAUUUUCAUAUUCAUAGCGGCAUUUCUCUCCGUGUAUCUUAGUUCUUGGGGAGAAUAAUUGAAUUUCUUAGUAGUUCUACAUUCUAAAGUUUGUUUGGGUUGUCUCUCUUUGUCAUAAAGAUUAGAUUAUAUUCUUCUUUUUGGCCGAGCAAAUAUUUAUUUUGGACCAUGCCCAAAUAUUUGCUUGCUUUAAUGACUUGAGCAUAGCCUAAAAUAAUGUGGGUCUCUACUAUCUGGGUACAAUGGUAAUGUAAAAAACUAUUUAUAUGCUUUAGAGGAAGAUUGCGGAACAACAGUUUGGACAUACCAAAAAGAUGGUGAAGAUGGGUUACCAGACUCAUUGGCAAGGAAGGGUAAUUGAACCCUAAUUGUCCCUCCCAUUCUGAAUUCCUACCUUGUAAAAGAGUACAUAAGAUAGGAUUACUUGGGAAAACUUGUAGCUGAAUUUUGGGAUCUAAGGAUGUGGUUCUGGGCUUUGUGGCUACAUCCAUCACUUUGGAAUGGUCUAGUACAUCAGUUCGAGGUCAAAUUUCUUCCCUACCCUUAAACUCGGAACAGUUCCUGGUAUGUCAUCUUACCAUCCUUUGAUGCAUAUGGAAGUUCUGAAAUUCAUGAAAAAAAAUAGAGAGAGAAUUUAUAAUUUUUUUUUCUUUUCUUAAAUGUGUUUGAUUUCAUUCCAAAGAUAAGAGUUCAGUACAAGAGAAAAGUAGAGGCAUUCCUCCACAUUCAUAAAGGUGUUGCAUUGUACAGUUGACCUCCUAAACCAGGCAUAUCAGACGCAUUUUGACAGAUUAUAGGGACUUUAAAUUGCUUAAGAAUCUAUAGAUUGGUCUGGUCCGAGCCACCUUAAAUUUCUUCUUAUUGAGGACACCUACUGGUAUUUGAACACACGGGACAAAGUCCUGGAUUCCACUAGGACAAUGAACUCUGCUUGAUUUUCUUCGUUCAUAACAGGAAACUGUUUGCAAGACUCUGCAGGUUGGUUAAGUCCAAUAUUUGAUGGCAGGGGCCACAUCAGUUUUUUUUUUGUUCUUUUUUACUGAAACAUCAGAGUAUAUGUUCACUAAAAUAAACUCUCACAGAGACAGGUACUGGUGUUUGUACCCUAACCUUGAAUACCAGACAAAGUCCGGGUUACCACCUAGGACAACAGACUGUUGCUUAAUUUCCUUCUCUUAUACAGGGAGUAUACCUAUAGUGUGCCUUUCAGGUACAUGCAAUCUAUGGUGAAGUUCGGCCAUGAUUCUCUGGUGGAGCCAAUUCCACAGAAUUUGAAGUUGUCGGUUUAGCAAUUUGCUUGCUGAAAACAAGAUGUAUAACAAGUAUAGAACUGGCCUAAUGGAGUCUGCAAAGAGAAUUGAUGCCAGAGAUACCACUGCCAGUGAACCAAACAGCACCAUACUACGACGAAGAACAAGGGCAAAAGUUGGAUGAGUAGAAGAAAAUCUCAGCUUAGCAUCGAAUGCCAAGCAGUAUAUGAGCAAACUAACAAUGCUGGCCUGCAUGCUCUUGGGGUGUGUUUCAAAUGGAGAUUUAUCCUUUCCUUGGUACAUCAAUUCGAGAUAGUUGAUGAUAAUUGGAACAAUGAAGGCGAGAAUGGCUUGGCGAGUAGUGGGUAUACAUGGUCCUUGAGAGAAGUAGUAUCUCGUGGCCAUAAAUGCCAUGUUGAACUGUCCGGUGAAGUUCCUUCGUAUGUGGGGCAGAGAGUGGAAUGUUCUUGCAGUAUCGGCCAUAGGAUUCGGAGCACAAAUCUGUGGAAGCUACUUGAGCUAGCACAAUAUAUCAAUAUUGAAGAUGAAAGGAAAUGAAUAGUAAAGGAUUUGGAGGACAAAUCUGAAGAGGGUACUUGAGUUAGCACAAGAUAUAAAUCUCGAAAUGAAAGGAGGAAAUGAAUAAGGAAAGGAUUUGGAACACAAAUCUGAAGAGGGUACUUGAGUUAGCACAUGACAUAAAUCUCAAAGAUGAAAGGAAAUUUAUAGUAAACUAUAAGAAGAAAGUGAAGGUGUGUCAAAAUAGUGGGCUUUUUCUAGAGAUGUUGGUUUGAGGAAAGUCUUGGGUAACUUCUUCUGCUUUAAAGUCUUUAUUUUUUCUUUUUAAAGUCUUCAGAUAGUGGGGUUUUUGGUACCAUUUGGCGGCACAUGGAUUGUACUACAUGGACUCCUGAGUCUUGCGUGGUGCAGAGGAAUUACAAAACGGUUCCGGCCAAUCAAAUGCCCGAGAAAGGAAAUGCCUCUUUCAGGAAACUGUUGAAAAUAAAGGAAAUGCCCGAGAAAGGAAAUGGACUCCUCUUUCAUCGCUUUCACAUUUGAAAAUAAAGUAUAAGAUACCAACACUUUGGGUACGACCUAAAUCCACAGCAACAAUUGUUUUGAGCCAAGAAACAUGAGAAGAACAAAAUAAAUUGUAAAUAUUUUUUUUAGGAAAGAGUAGAUUUUUCUCUUCUUUUUUGCUUUUCCUAGUUGGUUCUAACAAACAUGUCCCUUCUGAGACUUGAACUUCUAACCUCUCUUUGAGAGGUAAGGGGUUGAUACCGCUAGGCAACUGACCUGUUGGUGAUAAUUUUUCAUUCAUUCAAUUAAAAAUAGUUUCUUAAAAA